UGCUAUCUGAGUCAGCGGCGGACGGGUGAGUAACGCGUAGGAAUCUGCCCUGUAGUGGGGGAUAACCCGGGGAAACCCGGGCUAAUACCGCAUACGCCCCAAGGGGGAAAGCGGGGGAUCUUCGGACCUCGUGCUAUGGGAGGAGCCUGCGUCGAAUUAGCUAGUUGGUAGGGUAAAGGCCUACCAAGGCGACGAUCCGUAGCUGGUCUGAGAGGAUGAUCAGCCACACCGGAACUGAGACACGGUCCGGACUCCUACGGGAGGCAGCAGUGGGGAAUAUUGCGCAAUGGGCGAAAGCCUGACGCAGCCAUGCCGCGUGUGUGAAGAAGGCCUUCGGGUUGUAAAGCACUUUCAGUGGGGAGGAAAGACCCAAGGCGAAUACCCUUGGGGGUUGACGCUACCCACAGAAGAAGCACCGGCUAAUUCCGUGCCAGCAGCCGCGGUAAUACGGAAGGUGCGAGCGUUAAUCGGAAUUACUGGGCGUAAAGCGCGCGUAGGCGGCUUGGUAAGUCGGGUGUGAAAGCCCCGGGCUCAACCUGGGAACGGCGCUUGAAACUACGGUGCUGGAGUGUGGCAGAGGGAGGUGGAAUUCCAGGUGUAGCGGUGAAAUGCGUAGAUAUCUGGAGGAACACCGGUGGCGAAGGCGGCCCCCUGGUUCGAUACUGACGCUGAGGUGCGAAAGCGUGGGGAGCAAACAGGAUUAGAUACCCUGGUAGUCCACGCCGUAAACGAUGAUAACUAGCUGCCGGGGCACUUGGUGUUUCGGUGGCGCAGCUAACG
rnacentral:rRNA from 1 species